rnacentral:rRNA from 1 species
AUGUUUUUGCAGCUAGCAUUAAAAGCUGAUGUGUUUUAUAACAGAGUGACAAAUAUGACUAUUUGGGGAAACCAUUCAACAACUCAGGUUCCUAAUUUCUUGAAUGCCAAAAUUAAUGGGAGGCCAGUAAAAGAAGUCAUCAAAGAUACAAAGUGGCUAGAAGAGGAUUUUCCGAUAACUGUUCAAAAGGUACAUGGAGAAGGUGGUGGUGCCGCCGAGGCUGUUGCUCCCGGUGUUAGAGAGGGCGUCGCUGACCGAUGCCGCCGGCUUGCCCGAGGUGGCCUGCACGUCUUCAUGACCAGCCAUCUCCCCAGGUGA